rnacentral:rRNA from 1 species
UACAGAGGUCUCAAGCGUUGUUCGGAUUCAUUGGGCGUAAAGGGUGCGUAGGCGGCGUGGUAAGUCGGAUGUGAAAUCUCGGAGCUUAACUCCGAAACUGCAUUCGAUACUGCCGUGCUUGAGGACUGGAGAGGAGACUGGAAUUUACGGUGUAGCGGUGAAAUGCGUAGAUAUCGUAAGGAAGACCAGUGGCGAAGGCGGGUCUCUGGGACGGUACUGACGCUGAGACGCGAAAGCGUGGGGAGCGAACAGG